rnacentral:rRNA from 1 species
AGAACGAACGCUGGCGGCAUGCCUAACACAUGCAAGUCGAACGAGACCUUCGGGUCUAGUGGCGCACGGGUGCGUAACGCGUGGGAAUCUGCCCUUGGGUACGGAAUAACAGUUAGAAAUGACUGCUAAUACCGUAUAAUGACUUCGGUCCAAAGAUUUAUCGCCCAGGGAUGAGCCCGCGUAGGAUUAGCUUGUUGGUGAGGUAAAGGCUCACCAAGGCGACGAUCCUUAGCUGGUCUGAGAGGAUGAUCAGCCACACUGGGACUGAGACACGGCCCAGACUCCUACGGGAGGCAGCAGUGGGGAAUAUUGGACAAUGGGCGAAAGCCUGAUCCAGCAAUGCCGCGUGAGUGAUGAAGGCCUUAGGGUUGUAAAGCUCUUUUACCCGGGAUGAUAAUGACAGUACCGGAGAAUAAGCUCCGGCUAACUCCGUGCCAGCAGCCGC